GACGAACGCUGGCGGCGUGCUUAACACAUGCAAGUCGAACGAUGAAGAAAAGAAUCGAAGCUUCGGCAGAAAUUCAUUUCGGAUUAGUGGCAGACGGGUGAGUAACGCGUGAGCAACCUACCUCUUACAAAGGGAUAGCCUCGGGAAACCGGGAUUAAUACCAUAUAACAUUGCGACGAAGCAUUUCGAUGCAAUCAAAGCUACGGCGGUAAGAGAUGGGCUCGCGUCCCAUUAACCGGAUGGUGAGGUAACGGCUCACCAUAGUGACGAUGGGUAACCGGCCUGAGAGGGUGAACAGUCACACUGGAACUGAGACACGGUCCAGACUCCUACGGGAGGCAGCAGUGGGGAAUAUUGCACAAUGGAGGGAACUCUGAUGCAGCGACGCCGCGUGAGUGAUGAAGGAAUUCGUUUCGUAAAACUCUGUUCUAUGGGAAGAAAAGGACUGUACCAUAGGAGAAAGCUCCGGCUAAAUACGUG
rnacentral:rRNA from 1 species